UAAUAAAAGAGUUUGAUCCUGGCUCAGAAUGAACGUUAAUAGUUGACUUAACACAUGCAAGUCAAACAGAUUUUUUUUAAUUAUAAAUCAGUGGCGAACGGGUGAGUAGUAUACAGAAAUUAACCUUAAGGAUUUAGUUAAAUACAUAAAAUUUAUUUGCCUUAAGAAUAGUCUGUAACAGGAUUAAGUCGUUGGUUGUUUAAAAGACUACCAAGCUUAUGAUCCUUAGCUGGUCUUUGCGGAUGAACAGCCACAUUGGAAUUGAGAUAAGGUCCAAACUUUAUAUCUAAGGCAGCAGUGAGGAAUAUUGGGCAAUGAGCUAAAGCUUGACCCAGUUAAACUAUAUGUGUGAAGAAGGCAAUGUAUUGUAAAGCACUAAAACUCUUAUUUAAUAGUGAUUUUCUGAGUAAUAAUCCUGGCUAAUUUCGUGCCAGCAGCCGCGGUAAAACGGGAAGGGUUAACGUUAUUCGAAUUUAUUGGGCGUAAAGCAUAUUUAGGUGGAAAGCUUCAUUUUCAAUUAAAUUUUAGGUUUGAUCCUUGAAUUUUUUUAAUCAAAGUUUUCUAGAGUUUAGUUGAAGAUUAUGGAAUUUUAAGUGUAACGGUAAAAUGUUUUAAUAUUUAAAAGAACUUCAAUAGCGAAGGCAAUAAUCUAGAUUAAUACUGACACUAAAAUAUUAAAGUGUGGGUAGCAAAAGGGAUUAGAUACCCCUGUAGUCCAUACCUUGAACGAUGAGUGUUCAUUAUUGAGUGUUUUUAGUAAUUUAGUUAACGCGUUAAACACUCCGCCUGGGGACUACGAUUGCAAAAUUAAAACCCAAAGGAAUUGACGGGAACCUACACAAGCAGUGGAGCAUGUGGUUUAAAUCGACAGUACGCGCGAAAUCUUACCAAUUUUUGUAUAAUUUUAAAUUACAGGUGUUGCAUGGCUGUCGUCAGUCCGUGCUUUAAAGCGUUUGGUUUAUUCCAGUAAACGGACAAAACUUUUGUAUAUUUUAGAAUAUAGAUAACCAAAGAUAUUUUGGAGGAAGUUGGAAAUGAUGUCAAGUCUUCAUGACCCUAAUAAAUUGGGCUACUUUCAUGUGCUACAAUAGCUUUUUUAAUAAGAAGCUAGAAAGUAAAUUUAAGCAAAUCUUAAAAUAAAGCUUUAAUCAGAUUAUUUUCUGAAAUUCGAAAAUAUGAAGUUGGAAUUGCUAGUAAUCGCAGAUAAGAACGUUGCGGUGAAUGAGUUCUUAGGUUUUGUACACACCGCCCGUCACGCUAUGGAAAUUUUUAUUACUUGAAGCUUAUUAAUAUAAUCCAAGGUAGUAAAAGGACUGAAGUGAAGUCGUAACAAGGUAGCCGUAGGGGAACCUGUGGCUGGAUAAAAAUUAGA
rnacentral:rRNA from 1 species